GUGCCAGCAGCCGCGGUAAUUCCAGCUCCAAUAGCGUAUAUUAAAGUUGUUGCAGUUAAAAAGCUCGUAGUCGGAUUUUGGCAUCACGCCGAACUGUCAGCCGAUUGGUUUGUACGGUUUGGCGGGUGCUCUCCUUCCGGAAGCUCGUUCCCUUCUUAGUUGACGGGUUCGAUGGUUCCGGGUCUUUUACUUUGAAAAAAUUAGAGUGUUCAAAGCAGGCCUAUGCUCUGAAUAGGUUAGCAUGGAAUAAUAGAAUAGGACUUUGGUUCUAUUUUGUUGGUUUCUAGGACCGAAGUAAUGAUUAAUAGGGACAGUUGGGGGCAUUCAUAUUCCAAUGUCAGAGGUGAAAUUCUUGGAUUAUCGGAAGAUGAACUUCUGCGAAAGCAUCUGCCAAGGAUGUUUUCAUUGAUCAAGAACGAAAGUUAGGGGAUCGAAGACGAUCAGAUACCGUCGUAGUCUUAACCAUAAACUAUGCCGACUAGGGAUCUGGAGGCGUUAUUUUAUACGACCCUUCAGGCACCUUAUGAGAAAUCAAAGUCUAUGGGUUCCGGGGGGAGUAUGGUCGCAAGGCUGAAACUUAAAGGAAUUGACGGAAGGGCACCACCAGGAGUGGAGCCUGCGGCUUAAUUUGACUCAACACGGGAAAACUUACCAGGUCCAGACAUAGUUAGGAUUGACAGAUUGAGAGCUCUUUCUUGAUUCUAUGGGUGGUGGUGCAUGGGCCGUUCUUAGUUGGUGGAGUGAUUUGUCUGGUUAAUUCCGAUAACGAACGAGACCUUAACCUGCUAAAUAGUGUCGCUAUGAUCUCUUCAUGGUGUGCAUCUUCUUAGAGGGACUAUCGGUGUCUAACCGAUGGAAGUUUGAGGCAAUAACAGGUCUGUGAUG
rnacentral:rRNA from 1 species